GGGAUCAUGGUAAGAGGACCAGAGCUGGGUGGAGGUGGCCGACCUUUUGUGACUGGGGCCUUCACGGUUUUCAGGAGCCCCUGAUGAGAGUGGAGCUGAAAAAAGAAGCAGGGCUUGCGCUCGGGGGGGCACGAAGUACCGGGAGGAGUACUGCGAGGAGUCUUAGCACCUAUGGUCAGAGGGACUGAGGGAGCUGGCCGUGCGACUGGGCUUCGGGCCCUGUGCAGAGGAGCAGGCCUUCCUGAGCAGGAGGAAGCAGGUGGUGGCCGCGGCCUUGAGGCAGGCCCUGCAGCUGGACCUGCAGGAGGAUGAGGUUUGGGGGCUGGGCUGGACGGGGUGUCCCUGGGCUUGCUUGGGCCUAGCUCCUGGUGCUGAACACUGGAGCUGCUUGUCCCCGAUCUAGACCAGAGCUCGUAGCUGCCUGUCCCCACCCUGCUUCCUCCCACCUGGUGUUAGCAGGGACUUGGUACAGGCAGAGUGUUGCUUGAGGCACCUGGAGCCCACAUGGGAGCUACCUCAUAGGGCUGGCUUUCCUACUCUGUUUCUUGGUUCUCAGCCUAGCCUGUCUGAGGAGGGAGACAGAUAUCUGGUAUGAGGCCUGUUGGCCCAGGGUGCUUCAGGA
rnacentral:lncRNA from 1 species